ensembl:lncRNA
GUUUUCACAAGACAUGUGCAGAAGUAUGAAGUAAGUAGUUUAUAUUUUAUUAUAAUCUAUUUCAUUUCUUUAAGGUCUCCACCUAACCUGAACUCCUUAAAGCCACUGGCUCUUAUUCAUCUGAAUGAUUGCUAUUAUGAAAAGGAAAUUAACACAAUAUGUUGGUGGAAGCAGCUGCCAAAGGUCAUCUGACAUAAUAGCUGAUGAAUUCAAGCCCAGUGGAUUUCAUUUGCAAUUUUCAAUUUACUGAGGCCUCCAAACCCCACGGUGAUAAAAGCUUCCCCUAUCGUGGCCUGUCACAAACAUCAAGAAACUGCACAAACCCACAAGAAAGAAAAAAGAGAAAGCUGUGCAUCCUCGCAGGUACAGAUAAGGAGAACAGGAAGAAAUGGUAUCACGCAGGAAGGUAUGGAGCAGCUUGUGUGGCUAGUUCUCCAAAUGCCAGUUGAAAGGAAAAGACUAUGAAGAACAAUCAAAUAACUUCCACAGAAUAACGUCAUGUUUCUUUGGGGCUUUUGUGUGAAAAUUGCGUUCUAAUCUCUUAUUUGACAUGCCCCUAAACAAAAAUAUGAGUGUAAAUAUGCAAAUAAACAAAUGAAUAAAUAAUCUUUGCUUAUUUGAUCAUUGGAAAGAAAGCACACUCUGUGUGUUGUAUUUAGCAUAGUUUUGAUUUACAAAAUGCGUGCUCCUAAAGGAUCUUUUAUCAUGGAAGUGUCAGUCAGCACUAAGAAAUCAUUUGUUUUCUCGUAGAGAAAUGGUAGAUCCUUUGAUUGAUUUGCAAGGGCAGUCAAAGGACUGACAUAGCAACUACUUGUAAGUGGAUCUAGACACAGUGUAUAUUGAAGAUGUAUUAGCAAGGGAAGAAAGCCAUUUUCCCCUCCUGUCAAGCUAUUUACAGUGAACUUUGGCAGGAUCUGGGACUGAAUCUUGCUCCCAGCAAUUGUUCAAAUUGAGGAGACUAUAUGCGUGUUCCUUGCAGAAUGGUAAGUUUAAAAGUUGAGCAGCUCAUCUUCAUCCUAUCCUACACAACUCAUACGAUAGCUUACAAAGAGAAAGCAAAGAGAUGACCACUGUUUGAGGUACAACUGCUUGGAGAAUUCCAUUUCAGACAUGGAUGUCUGGAUCCCAUUUCUACCAAAUAGAUUCAGAAAGGCUUAUGAAAUUGGUCUAAUGAGGCAAGAGAACUUGGCAGAGGGCAUCUAACAACAUGCCUCAUGACGAAAUUUCUCAUGCCAGUUGACAAGAAAACCCAAGAAUGACAUCAACAAGACCAGGAUAUUAACUCCAUUUGUGUAUUGGUAACUGUGAGACACGCACAGGUUGGAAAGGAAAAGAGACUAAUUCCUGGUUGAACUGAUGUGAUUGUGAGAGGCUGCCUACUGUAGAAUGAUAACUUAAACUGUCACAGCAAAAAGCAAAAAUGUGGGCUAUUCAUCAUAAUUGAAUCCUUGGUUCUUUGAAAUUAAACUAUUUCUUAAGAUUUUCUAUUAGCAAAAAAUUUAAUGAUCUUUCAAUUCUUCAAAGUUUUAAAAUAGAAACUGUUUCCUCAAGUAGCUAAAAUGGCAGGAAUUAACAUUUUGAAAUAAGGCAUAAAAAAGUUUAUUCUAAGAUGCAGAAAAUACAGAAGGUAGCCAUAUUUUAGCAUUUUAUUGUUUUUUCUCCUACACAAAAUUGUCAGGAUGUCACUUUUCAAAAGUUGCUUCCUCUUUUCCCCCUUUUGUAGUUUCUAUAGGUUCAAAGAGAACUCUCUCCAUAAUUUGCAGUUUCUAUGGGUUCUCUUUGGAUUGUUAGCAUAAUACAGAGACCCUGGUGAUGGUAAAAGAUUGCUUAAUGGAGUCUUAAUUUAAUCAGUCCUCUAAAAAAAUACGUAUAACUUGGUGAGGGUUUUUCAUUAUCUCUGUUCUUCAAUGGCAGUGAUACAAGGCAAGCUGUACCAAUGGGUCUGUAGUUACAUAGCAGAAAGGUUAAUCUCUUUUAUGUUCCUUCUAUUAGAAAGGCAGUUCUCGAAUCUUCAGGGCAGAGUCCUAAAUUGGUCUUGUAGACUGGUUCACAGAGACUGUUCCCUCUUAUGCCCUACGGCUAAUUACAAUCAGUCAGGCCAGAGCAUUCACUGUCGUUUGAAUGAUGCGAUAGACUAUUUCCCGUUUCAUUAAUUAAUUUUUUUCAUCCCUUCACUUAGUAUUUAUUUAGUAUCUACUAAAUGCAGGACAACUAUGAAUGAGACUUUCCUUACUUUCAAGCAGUUUACAGAAGAGUGAAAUACAGAAUGUUUUACAUCUGCUCUCCCCACCUCCCAGAAUUGUUUUUCAUAUAGCCAUAAAAAGUUUAAAAUAAUGAAAAGUGUAUCUUGAGAAUUUGAGCAAUGGAGUGACACCAUUGACAUCUGGAUAUCUUAUUUCGGGUGAAAGCUGUGUUUCCCAUUUUUUUU